rnacentral:misc_RNA from 1 species
CCAAAACUCAAGUAUGGGAUCGAGACCGACUGCGUUUGGCGUUGCAAGGGGCGUUUUAGUGGGUUCGCUGGCAAGAUUUCAGUCGCUUCAUUUUGGCCCUUUCGUCUCCAACAGUCAACUCAGUCUCAGGAGAUUAUCCUCCACCAAACCACUACUGGAGCAGCACAGACAAACUAAACUAGUGAUGCAAAACGAAAUCCAAUACAAACCCAGAAUUCUGUGCCUCCAUGGCUUCAGGACCAGUGCUUCAAUCCUGCAAAAAUUGAUAGCUAGAUGGCCUGAAACUGUGCUUCAAAAGCUCGACCUUCAUUUCCUUGAUGGCCCAUUUCCUGCCCAAGGAAAAUCUGAUGUUGAAGGAAUUUUUUAUCCUCCUUACUAUGAGUGGUAUCAGAGCAAUCAGGACUUCACAGAGUACAGAAAUUUUGAAGAAUGUGUUGCUUAUAUGGAAGAUUAUAUGAUAAACCAUGGUCCUUUUGACGGUUUGCUUGGCUUCUCCCAGGGAGCAUUUCUAUCAGCUGCUGUGCCCGGCAUGCAAGCACAGGGAGUAGCUUUUACAAGGGUACCAAAGAUAAAGUUUCUGGUCAUAAUUUCUGGGUCUAAGUUUGGAGGGUAUAAGUUUGGCCAACCCAAGCUUGCUGCUAAUGCAUUUUCAUCUCCCAUUGAGUGUCCUUCUCUCCACAUUAUAGGUAACUUCAAAAAUUUGCAACACUUGUUCAGUCUCCCUUUGCUUAACUUGUCUUUCUUUUAUUUUUAUUAUCAUUAUAUUUUACAAAAACAGAAAGCAAAAAAAACCCAAGUUAAUGAAAUUGAGCUAGCCUUAGUUGUCUGCCGCAAGCCAUAUCAUUAUCAAAGCAAAUUGAUAUACUAUGUUUUUGAAACCCUCAUUUCUUGUGUCGUGUAUGCACCAUUUGAAUGAGCUAUAACAAAAUUGAUAUUAAAAUCUAAGUAGUGACAAGUAGUUGGGUUUAUGUGAAUUGCUAGGAAUGCUUAUUGUUAUUUUCUUAAGAAAUUUUGCCUGUUCUGCAUUUCUUUUAGACAAUGACCUUUGCUUUGUAUACUCACAGGCGACAAAACUGCGGUGUCAUUGUCAUCCAUUUUCUAAUGGAGAAGGCUAUAGCUCUUGUGAAAGUUUUUUAAAUAAAUUCCACGUCCUCUAAUUUUUGUUGAUGCAUUAAUAGCACUCAAAAGGCUUUGCCCUUCUCAAAAUCAAUGAUUUGUCAAUAAUAGUAACAAAAUCUAGAAGUUAUAGUCAAUAGAAUAAACAAGCACAUCAAGAAUUUUAUUAUUACCAACAUUUAUAUUUAAAAGGUUCAAUUAUGGUUUCUAUUCUUCGAACUUGAUUGCAACACUAUUCUUCUAUUCAUGUUUUCUUGAUUUUCAUUAACAGACAAAUAUCUUCCAAUUCAUUAACCGGGGCAAUGUUUAAAUUUUGAAUACACUGGAAGCAUUUUCGGGGAGCAUCUAUCUCUUUUUUCUUAAGAUGAGGUUGAAGGAGCAAAAGGUUCAAAUUUAGUGCAAAAAACUCUGUAAUCAAGUAAGGAGUUCAGUUAGUAACAUGAAGAACAUAUCAUUUUGACUAAUGAGUUUUCUAUUUUUGGUUUCAUCACCUAAAGAUCAAAGACAAAUGCUUUGCUUCACAGUCCACAACAGCACGUAGAUAAGCAGACCAUUUGUCAAAUGGCUGGAUGCAAUUGUAUAAGGCAUGAUCUAUAAAUGCACUUCAACAUCAUCACAUUAAUGUAGGAAAUAAGAGACAUUUUUAUAUGGCCAGGAAGCAUCAUUUUUACUUGCUGAUAAUGCAUAUGAUACAGGGGAGAAGGACUUUUUGAAGCCAGGAGGAAUUGAUCUACUGGAAUCAUUUGUUAACCCUGUUGUGAUUCAUCACCCCAAGGGGCACAUCAUACCAAGACUUGGUCAGUCAAUAGUAUUUAUGAUUCCUUCCAUCUUGCAGGAUGUUUGUUUCACAUUUCCCAAUCUAAGAAGAGGAUAUGGAUCUGAUUAGUCAUUGCAAAUUUACCCCCCUUUUUGUUUUGAUCUUUUUGCACAGAUGACAUCAGCCUCAAUACAAUGCUUUGCUUCAUUGAACAUAUUCAAAAGAUUCCUUCACAUGACUGAUAUCAAGCCUGCUUCUUUUACAACAGUGAAAGUUCCCCUUUUAUUUUCUUGUCUAUUUUUUGCCCAAAUGUUAGUAAAUCAUCAGCUAAAUAUUUGCUAGUAAAAAUUCAAAGAGAUUUCUCUUUAUUUCAAGCUGUAAGUGAUAGAUAAAUUAUUACUCUUUAACAAUUUAACCAUGCUGAUUGCUAAUAUAAUUGCAUUGGACAAUUAGAUUUUAUCAGUGAGUGUCAAUCCAUUAUGAUUUAAAUUGAAUAAAUACAUCAAUUCUGUGUAGGAAGACUUAAUAAAUUCAUCAGAAUAAAGUGAUAGUUUUUCUUCAGAGAUUUUCCUUAAAAUUUUCAUAUCUCAUAUCCGAGCGGUGUCGUUUUACUUUAGAAAAAAAAAUAAUGAUUACGAAAGAAUCUUUGGAGUGAUUUAUUUGAUGACAGUUAGAACAAAAAGAAACGACUGUACUUGAUCCAAAGCCCACCAGUCAAAGUUGUCUCUAUCACUGCGUCUAGCGCUAAAAGAGGCGAUCCCAUUGUACGGCCCACUACCGUGUUUCCCGGUUAGCCCAUCCAAUAAGAAAUUCCUCACUAUUCCUUCAAAACUGAAUUCUCUUCAAUUUCAUGCGCGAAAACGAGUAAACAAAAUCCCAUUAUAGAAGCUCACUUACUCUCCACGCGCCACCGCACUCUUCGAAUCUUCUAGAAACAUGGAGCAACAGUCCAAGGCGGACACGGAUUCCACGGGCCAGGAGGAUCCGAAGCCGAAAUCCGUACCCAAUACGAAUACCGGAGAUAAUCAUCUUCGUCAU